AUGGCCCGUUGCCGGCACCGCAUCAAGAUCACCGCCAAUGGCAAGUCCGUGUAUGCCAAGGUGGUGGACGAGUGCGACUCCGUCUAUGGCUGCGACGAAAACCACAACUACGAGCCCCCGUGUGCCGACAACAUCGUCGACGCGUCUCCUGCGGUGUGGAAUGCCUUGGGGCUUGACCAGAAUGUCGGCAUGGAGGGAAUCACCUGGUCUGAUGAGUGA
rnacentral:rRNA from 1 species